UACGUAGGGUGCAAGCGUUGUCCGGAAUUAUUGGGCGUAAAGGGCUCGUAGGCGGUCCAUCGCGUCGGGGAGUGAAAAGCUGGGGCUUAACCCCAGUCCUGCUUCCGAUACGGGUGGACUAGAGGUAGGUAGGGGAGAACGGAAUUCCUGGUGUAGCGGUGAAAUGCGCAGAUAUCAGGAGGAACACCGGUGGCGAAGGCGGUCUCUGGGCCUUACCUGACGCUGAGGAGCGAAAGCAUGGGGAGCAAACAGG
rnacentral:rRNA from 1 species